GAUUUGGCAGAUUCAACAACUGUCUUUUUGCUCUUCUCCAAGUUAGGAACAAGUACAAGAACAGGAUUGGCGAUGAAUCUUAUGAGGAGGCGAGGAUUGAAGAAGAGAGGCUUUUUGAGUCUCAUCUAAUGCUUUCAAAGAUUGACAAAUCCAUUGUUGGUGUUCCUGUUCUGGCACAGAGGCUAGUUCAAGUUCAAGGCAUGAUCAUAUCCAAAACUCUGCCCGAAAUUGUGAAGAAAAUCAAUGAGAAGCUGACUUACAAUUUAUCUGAGUUGGAUAAGUUGCCUGUGAAUCUGACUUGUGUUGCUGAUGCUAUGACUGCAUUUUUGAAUUUGAUAUGACAUUUGGUCCUCGUAAUUGCAAAAGGCUAUUAGGUGCUAAGUCACCUUUUUCUCAACAAAACUUACAAAGGGAUGUCAUUGAUCGUGAUGAGGAGACAGC